AGGACGAACGCUGGCGGCGUGCUUAACACAUGCAAGUCGAGCGGAAAGGCCCUUCGGGGUACUCGAGCGGCGAACGGGUGAGUAACACGUGAGUAACCUGCCCUUGGCUCUGGGAUAGCUCCGGGAAACCGGAAUUAAUACCGGAUAUGACCUCGGCCGACAUCGGCCGUGGUGGAAAGAUUUAUCGGCCAGGGAUGGGCUCGCGGCCUAUCAGCUAGUUGGUGGGGUAACGGCCUACCAAGGCGACGACGGGUAGCCGGCCUGAGAGGGCGACCGGCCACACUGGGACUGAGACACGGCCCAGACUCCUACGGGAGGCAGCAGUGGGGAAUAUUGCGCAAUGGGCGAAAGCCUGACGCAGCGACGCCGCGUGGGGGAUGAAGGCCUUCGGGUUGUAAACCCUUUCGGCAGGGACGAAGCGAAAGUGACGGUACCUGCAGAAGAAGCGCCGGCUAACUACGCGCCAGCAGCCGC
rnacentral:rRNA from 1 species